UCCGGAGGGGGCUAGCGUUGUUCGGAAUUACUGGGCGUAAAGCGCGCGUAGGCGGCUUUGUAAGUUAGAGGUGAAAGCCCGGGGCUCAACUCCGGAAUUGCCUUUAAGACUGCAUCGCUAGAAUUGUGGAGAGGUAAGUGGAAUUCCGAGUGUAGAGGUGAAAUUCGUAGAUAUUCGGAAGAACACCAGUGGCGAAGGCGACUUACUGGACACAUAUUGACGCUGAGGUGCGAAAGCGUGGGGAGCAAACAGG
rnacentral:rRNA from 1 species